AACGUAGGAGACGAACGUUAUCCGGAGUUACUGGGCGUAAAGGGCUCGUAGGCGGCCAACUAAGUCAGACGUGAAAUCCCUCGGCUUAACCGGGGAACUGCGUCUGAUACUGGAUGGCUUGAGUUUGGGAGAGGGAUGCGGAAUUCCAGGUGUAGCGGUGAAAUGCGUAGAUAUCUGGAGGAACACCGGUGGCGAAGGCGGCAUCCUGGACCAACACUGACGCUGAGGAGCGAAAGCCAGGGGAGCAAACGGG
rnacentral:rRNA from 1 species